GAGUAGCCUCGUUGCUACGAUCUGCUGAGGCUAAGCCUGGGUUCUAUAGAUUUGUUUGACAACAGUCAAACCACUUCUCUCUGUCCACUGGGCAAUGGAGGUGUGUACCAUGGGCACCCACCCCGCACACACACAAAGUCCCUACGCAGACCCCCGCCUCGCCCUCUUGGGAACGCGGCGCCUGGCCUGCCGCAGACUGCCUAGGCCGCCUCUAGGGUUCUAGUGUUGUGUAGUGUCCUGGUGUCCUAGUGCCCUAGUAUCCUAGUGUGCCCUAGUGCGUAUCCUAGUAUCCUAGUGCCCUAGUGCCUAGUAUCCUAGUGCCCUAGUGCCUAGUAUCCUAGUGCCCUAGUGCCUAGUAUCCUAGUGCCCUAGUGUCCUACACUCUGCACUCUCUACGCACGCCUAUUCCCUUCCCUAUUCCCCCUUCCCUCUCUCUCAACUCACCCCCUCCCCUUGUCCCCCCCACUCGCUCCUCCCACACUCUCCCCCGC
rnacentral:misc_RNA from 1 species